GUGAGAAGAAACAAACCUGUGAUUCCUGGUUGGACUCUAUUAUUCAUCCAGAACAUUUCUGUUCCUGAAACACCAGGAUAAUGGCCAAUAAGAAAAAAGUAGUGGUGACAGGGUUUGAGCCCUUUGGUGAGCAUGCUGUGAACUCGAGUUGGGUGGCAGUCCAGAUUUAUACUUCCAAUUCUCUGGUACAGUACUUGAGUAACACAAAGUAAUCAAAGACUAAGAAUUUCAAGGAGUAGAUGGAUCUGUCUGGAGCUGGGACAGAGGAAACAAACUCUAGGUCCUGUGGAUUGGGAAAUGUUCUCCUGACUGCAUACUUUAUGUUGGCUAUACAAGCCUGUAAGUAUUGUUUUCUUCAAAAUCUACUGUUUCUUCAAAAUUAAUUGUACUGUCUUUAGAUACAGUUAAAAAACAUUCUGUGAACAUAUCAAACAUUAAUUAUAUGCACACAAAGGUCUUUCUAACUUUGAUUUGUAGGUGAAAGUGAAUUGUACAGACAAAAAUGAUUUAAUUUAUUUUCAUUCUAUGUUUGCACUCUGAUCUCUAAUACUUUGUCCGAGCAUUGCCCCUUCACAUCUUCAAAGCUUGAAGUUGUUUCCAUGGCAACUAUUUACCAUGGAAACCAUUCAUGAUGCUUUUGCUGACUUGGUAAUUCAAUGGUGGGAUUUAAAAGUGUGUGGGUGUCUGAAAAUGUUGAAUGAAUGUUGAAUGUUGUUGGAUGUAUGAUGCACUACCUUAUUGUUCUUCCCUCCCCAUCUUAAAAGUAAUUACUAGAAACAUAAAUUAUUUCAAUAUUUGUCUUCAUGCCACCUCCUCCCUCCCGCAAUCCUCCUCCAGCCCUCCUAUCCAUCAUCCUUCCACCUCUCUCUGUCCUCUUUCUGCCUCUAUUUCCUUCUCACCUUCUCUAUUCGCUCCUACCACUCAUCCUCCUUCCAUCACUGCUGACCAAGUGUGGACUGAGCUGAGACGACUUCAUCCUAGAAAGGCUGCAGGACCAGACCGGGUGUGUCUGAGGGUUCUAAAGGUCUGUGCUGCUGAAUUGGGGGAAGCUCUACAGCAGGUCUUUAACCUGAGUCUGCGACUGGGUGUGGUUCCCACACUAUGGAAAACAUCCUGCAUAGUCCCUGUUCCAAAAAAGGGUCGCCCAAGUGAGCCAAAUGAUUACAGGCCAGUUGCUCUGACGUCCCACGUCAUGAAAACAUUAGAGCGACUGGUCUUGAACAUGAUGCAACCCCAUCCUCUGUACACUGUUUUCUCCAACCAGAGGAGCUCCUUCAGUGACAGGUUCCUCUCACUGGGUUGUUCAACUGAGAGGAUUAAAAACUCAUUUGUCCCACGGGCCAUUAGGCUUUAUAAUGCUGCUAUCUGUGGGAGGGGAAAGGGAGGGAGACGGGGUAACUAGUAUUUUAACAUAUUUAAGCACUUUUACUAGACCUCUUUUUAGUGGUAAUGUAUUUAUUUAUUUAUUAUAUUCUUGUACCUUUUAUGGAUGUCUCCAGCUGUACGAUUUUAAUGCUGUGUGGAUGUGAAUUAAUGUGUGAGCAACAGAUGACCUGAAUUUCCCUAUGGGAUUAAUAAAGUUCAACCUAACCUAA